rnacentral:rRNA from 1 species
AAAGGCCAAUCAAACCGGGAGAUAGCUGGUUCUCCCCGAAAGCUAUUUAGGUAGCGCCUCGUGAAUUCAUCUCCGGGGGUAGAGCACUGUUUCGGCAAGGGGGUCAUCCCGACUUACCAACCCGAUGCAAACUGCGAAUACCGGAGAAUGUUAUCACGGGAGACACACGGCGGGUGCUAACGUCCGUCGUGAAGAGGGAAACAACCCAGACCGCCAGCUAAGGUCCCAAAGUCAUGGUUAAGUGGGAAACGAUGUGGGAAGGCCCAGACAGCCAGGAUGUUGGCUUAGAAGCAGCCAUCAUUUAAAGAAAGCGUAAUAGCUCACUGGUCGAGUCGGCCUGCGCGGAAGAUGUAACGGGGCUAAACCAUGCACCGAAGCUGCGGCAGCGACACUAUGUGUUGUUGGG